rnacentral:lncRNA from 1 species
GAAUGACGGAAGAGAAAACGACCCUAAGGAAGUAACUACUUACUCUAGUCAAAACAAACAAAGUGCUGAUAUGUGUAGUACCAAUAACAAAACAAAGUUUUCAUUUUUAAAUAAACAUCUUAGUUUUGAGUACAAAACAAAUCAGACUUGUAAUGACCCAUUAAACGUUUAUAAUAUAUUAGAAAAUAAUGUAAAAAUAUAUGAUGGAGCCAAUGCAAUGAUAUACCAAGAUUUAACAAAAUAUAUGUAUCAAACUUAUUUACAUAGCGAUAGUAACGAGCAAACUGGGGACAACAAGAUGCAAAAUAGAAACAGUAACAAACAAAGUAAAGACAGCAACAAACAAAGUAAAGNNNNNNNNNNCGAAAACAACAAACGAAGGACCGAAAACAACAAACGAAGGACCGAAAACAACAAACAGAGUAAAUAUAUUUUUAUCAUACUUAUGCACAUAUUUGAAACGUUAGAACAUGAUGAAAUGAAUUUACUAAUUCAUGGUGAACUUACGAAAUCAUUACAAUUUUUAUUAUAUAACUUGUCAGAAAAUAAGGAUAAAAGAAUUAUAUAUAAUCAAUUAAUAAAUUUUAUUUUUGAUGAUAAAAUAUUAUUUAAUGAAAACUCGGAAGAUAUAAUUAAUAAAAUCAGUUUAAACGAUACGUAUACUAAGUUAGAAAUAAGUACAAGCGGUUCAAACAAACCAAAAGAAAAAAGUAGGCAACAUAAAACAAAUAAUAACAUAAAUAAUAACAUAAAUAAUAACAUAAAAAAUAACAGAGAUAAGAACAGAAAUGGUAACAAAAAAAACGACGAUAGAAGUCAAAAUGGAAGUGAUAGCGGAAGCAAUAACAGAGUCGAAAAUGAAGAAUACAAUAACACAGAUGAAAAUGAAGAAUGCAAAAACGAAGAAUGCAAUAGACUAUUUAUUUUAAACUAUAAAAAACUUUACCCAUUAAAUAACUAUAUUGAAUGUUUUCAAAUGUUAUCAUUAGAUUUAUUUAAUUAUUUUAUACCUUGUUAUAUAUUUUAUAUUUUUAAAAAUUUUAAUAUGUAUCCAAAGUAUAACAUGAAUAUAAUAUUUUCUAUCAUUUGUUGUAAUUUAAUUAAAAAUGAAUAUUGUAAUUUAGAAUAUAUGGAAAAAAAUAAUCAUCUUAUUAUUUCUUUUAUAAAUAUGUUUCCUUAUAUUUUAGCAAACCAUAUAAAAUGCUUUCUUUAUAAUUUAAAUAACAGCUCUUGUUUUAUAUUUUAUGAAAGUAUAAUUAUCUUAUUAAAAAUUUCUUAUUUUAUAAUUCAAAAUGUUCGAUAUAUAUCUAAACGAAGUUUAUUGAAAUAUUGGUGCUCUAUCAUUUUCACAAUUGAAAAAAUCCUCUUUGUUAAUUGCAAUAAUGACAAAAUCGAUAUGUUGGAUAUUAUGCUCAUCAAAUUUAUAAGAAAUAGUUACCUAGAAGCAAACUCGAGUGCACC